UACAUUCCAGCUAGCGUGUUUACUCGAGC
rnacentral:piRNA from 1 species